rnacentral:rRNA from 1 species
GAUGAGCGCUGGCGGCGUGCCUAAUACAUGCAAGUCGAGCGAACAGACGAGGAGCUUGCUCCUCUGACGUUAGCGGCGGACGGGUGAGUAACACGUGGAUAACCUACCUAUAAGACUGGGAUAACUUCGGGAAACCGGAGCUAAUACCGGAUAACAUGUUGAACCGCAUGGUUCAACAGUGAAAGACGGUUUUGCUGUCACUUAUAGAUGGAUCCGCGUCGCAUUAGCUAGUUGGUAAGGUAACGGCUUACCAAGGCAACGAUGCGUAGCCGACCUGAGAGGGUGAUCGGCCACACUGGAACUGAGACACGGUCCAGACUCCUACGGGAGGCAGCAGUAGGGAAUCUUCCGCAAUGGGCGAAAGCCUGACGGAGCAACGCCGCGUGAGUGAAGAAGGUCUUCGGAUCGUAAAACUCUGUUAUUAGGGAAGAACAAAUGUGUAAGUAACUAUGCACGUCUUGACGGUACCUAAUCAGAAAGCCACGGCUAACUACGUG